rnacentral:rRNA from 1 species
CAGUAGCCGCGGUAAUACAGAGGGUGCAAGCGUUAAUCGGAUUUACUGGGCGUAAAGGGCGCGUAGGUGGUUAUGUAAGUGAGAUGUGAAAUCCACGGGCUCAACCUGGGAACUGCAUCUUAUACUGCGUAGCUGGAGUGCAGUAGAGGGUAGUGGAAUUUCCGGUGUAGCGGUGAAAUGCGUAGAUAUCGGAAGGAACACCUGUGGCGAAAGCGGCUCACUGGACCAUAACUGACGCUGAGGCACGAAAGCUAGGGGAGUAAACAGGAUUAGAUACCCCCGUAGUCCCUGUCUCUUAUAC